AAAAGGAGAGUUACACCAAUCAGGUGAUCACUGACAGCCAUCGCUGCACAAACAUAGAUGACCAGAGAGUCACUAGAGGAGACACGUUGGUGUGAAAC